rnacentral:rRNA from 1 species
UACAGAGGGUGCAAACGUUGUCCGGAAUCAUUGGGCGUAAAGAGCGUGUAGGCGGCUACUUAAGUCCUGCGUGAAAUCUUGCGGCUCAACCGCAAGCGGUCGUGGGAAACUGGGUGGCUAGAGUGCGGGAGAGGAGAGUGGAAUUCCUGGUGUAGCGGUGGAAUGCGCAGAUAUCAGGAAGAACACCCGUGGCGAAGGCGGCUCUCUGGAACGCAACUGACGCUGAGACGCGAAAGCGUGGGGAGCAAACAGG